GGGAAAGGAAAGUGCUAGGCAGCCUGUGAUUAGCAACAUUCUUUGUGCUUUUUUGUUGUUCCUCUGCUCUGUUCUACGUUGUUUGCCUUAGAAAUGUAAUUUUUAAAAACCAUUUUAAAAAUGAACGGUGAUUUGGCUGGCUGGAAAAAAUCACACUGUCAGGGGACUAUAUUUGAAGUCAGUCUAGACGGGGCGGGACUAGGAACCCACCUGGACCCAGGAGACCCCACAGGACUCAGGAGGUCCCUGCCGGAAGGCAGAGGUUCAGGUGAGAGUGGCUCACCUCUGAGCUGGUGAAGUGAGGACUCGCCUGUGACAUGACCCAGAGAUCUGCUGCGGGCUUCUGGAGACAGGGCCUUGGGCUGACUUCUCAGGUCGAUUGAGGCCUCCUGACUAGCGGUGUUCCCAGGCUAGAGGUGACUGGCUGCAACAAAGAUGCUUCUAUUAGUCUAUUAGCAGUGCCUUCGGGACCCUGGGAUUUUGCUCUCUCUAGAAAGGUGUUUUUUAUUUUUUUAUUUUUUAUUUCCCCCUUUUUUCCUGGCUUUGCUCCAGGGUUUGUGUAUUUGCCUGUUUAUUGUCCUGCUCUUUUUUUUUUUUUUGGAUGAAAACUCCAGCCUUUCCUGACUCACCUCCAUCUUCAGGUUCUUCAGUUUUCUGAGAAGAGUGGGGAUAUGUGGGAAGGGGCAUGGGAGCUCGGCAGCCUCCACCUGCCAGGAAGGCAGUUUCGCUUCUGCAGGAAAGAGCAGAGCCCGUGGGAAGCUCUGGGUGAGGGUGCUGCAGCCGGCCCAGCACGCAUGGUAUUGCCAGCCACGGGGGGCCUGCGUGUAGUCUCUGCUCCCUGCAUUUCACCUUCUUUGUUGACUUUCCUUCUCAGAGGAGGAUAUCUGGGGCACAUCAGGUAUACACAGUCACCCACAUUCAGACUAUGAAGGGCGUGGCCACUGCAUGCAGGACCAGAGAACGGAUUUGGACACGUCUGUAAAUAAGCCGCAGGUUCACAGCACAGUGCCUUUCAAGGGAAGCACUGUAAGCUCACUGAG
rnacentral:lncRNA from 1 species